UACGUAGGGACCGAGCGUUGUCCGGAAUCAUUGGGCGUAAAGAGCGUGUAGGCGGCCCCUUAAGUCCUGCGUGAAAUCCUGCGGCUCAACCGCAGACGGUCGUGGGAAACUGGAGGGCUAGAGUGCGGGGAGAGGAGAGUGGAAUUCCCGGUGUAGCGGUGAAAUGCGCAGAUAUCGGGAAGAACACCCGUGGCGAAGGCGGCUCUCUGGAACGCAACUGACGCUGAGACGCGAAAGCGUGGGGAGCAAACAGG
rnacentral:rRNA from 1 species